UACGGAGGGGGCUAGCGUUGUCCGGAAUUACUGGGCGUAAAGCGCACGUAGGCGGCUUUGUAAGUUAGAGGUGAAAGCCCGGGGCUCAACUCCGGAACUGCCUUUAAGACUGCAUCGCUAGAAUUGUGGAGAGGUGAGUGGAAUUCCGAGUGUAGAGGUGAAAUUCGUAGAUAUUCGGAAGAACACCAGUGGCGAAGGCGACUCACUGGACACAUAUUGACGCUGAGGUGCGAAAGCGUGGGGAGCAAACAGG
rnacentral:rRNA from 1 species